GGCCUUUUGAUUAUAAUUUAAGGUCGGGCCUGCCCAAUGAAGAAAUUUAAUGGCCGCGGUAUAUUAACUGUGCAAAGGUAGCAUAAUCAUUAGUUUUUUAAUUGAAAGCUGGAAUGAAGGGUUUAAUGAAAAAAGUUCUGUUUCUGUUUAAGUUUAUUAGAAUUUUAUUUUUAAGUUAAAAAGCUUAAAUAAUUAUUGAAGACGAGAAGACCCUAUAGAGUUUUAUAUUUUUGGAAAUUUUUUUAUUUGGUAAUUUUAAUUUAAUUUUUAAAGGUAUUUGGUUGGGGUGAUUGAAAAAUUAAAGAAACUUUUUUUUUAUUAAACAUUAAUAUAUGAGUAAAUGAUCCUUUUUUUAGAUUAAAAGAAAUAAUUACCUUAGGGAUAACAGCGUAAUUUUUCUUAGAGUUCUUAUCAAAAGAAAAGAUUGCGACCUCGAUGUUGGAUUAAAAUAAGUUUUUGGUGCAGAAGCUGAAAAACUAGGUCUGUUCGACCUUUAAAUUUUUACAUGAUCUGAGUUUAGACCGGUUUAAG
rnacentral:rRNA from 1 species